rnacentral:snRNA from 1 species
UUGCUUCUGCAGCACAUAUAUGAAAAUUGAAACAUACAGAGAGAUUAGCAUGGCCCUUGCACAAGAUGACAUGCAAAUUCGUAAGUGUCCAAAUUUAA